AUUGAACGCUGGCUGCAGGCUUAACACAUGCAAGUCGAGCGAGCGGCGGACGGGUGAGUAAUGUCUGGGAAACUGCCUUAUGGACGGGGAUAACUACUGGACACGGUAGCUAAUACCGCAUACCAUCAGAUGUGCCCAGAUGGGAUUAGCUAGUAGGUGGGGUAAUGGCUCACCUAGGCGACGAUCCCUAGCUGGUCUUAGAGGAUGACCAGCCACACUGGAAUUGAGAGAAGGGCCAGACGACUACGGGAGGCGGAAGUGGGGAAUAUGGCACAAUGGGCGCAAGGCUGAUGCAGCCAUGCCGCGUGUGUGAAGAAGGGCUUGGGGUUGUAAAGCACUUUCAGCGAGGAGGCGUUACUCGCAGAAGAAGCACCGGCUAACUCCGUGCCAGCAGCCGCGGUAAUUC
rnacentral:rRNA from 1 species